rnacentral:snRNA from 1 species
GUACUCACUUCGGAAGCACGUACACUAAAACUGGAGCAGUACAGAAGAGAUUAGCAUGGCCCUUAUGUAAGGAUGACAUGCAAAUUCAUGAAGUGUUCAUAUUUUUU